UUUAUACACUUACGGUCUUACUAAUAAAAAAUCACUAUACAUGCGUUAUGACAAGGUGAUAGUAAUUCAGUGAAUAGAGCUUGUACAGGGCAUAAACACCUCUUUGACCAAUAAUCGAUGUGUAUUGGUUGAAUAACAAAACGACCCUUAUUUAUUGUUACCCUGGCAACCCGCCGUGUUUGAUUGACGUUUGAUUUAAUAAUUCUGAUACAACUCAUAAUUCUAAUCUAAUAGAAACUCCAAAACCUCAGACAAAGAGGACUAGAAUUUUACAUAAAAAGCCGCGUUCUGCAGUACAAAAGUUAGAAGAGGCAUCUCAAAUAGUGGAAAGUGCCAAACUCCGUAACACGGUAGUGUUCCGGUGUUUCCAGGAAGAGCACGAAACAAAACAAAGGCAGAUGGCUGAAACACAUGAGCUCAAACAGAAGCAACUUGCCGAAGCUCACGAAAGGGCUAGACAGAAGCAUCUUCUAAGGCUCAAAUUGUUACAGCAGCAAUUAAAUAAAUAAUUAUAUACUUAUAAAAAAUAUAAAACCCCUGUUUUAAAUGAAAUAUAACUUUUUAUUUAUUUCAAGUCCUUAACUAUCCACACCUAUGUAAAUAAAACAGCCUUAAAAAUAUGUUUCAAUAAAAGCAGCUCUAGCAGCUUGUCCAGCCAGAUUGCUUGGGGGCGUCUAGGUUGGCCUAGGUUCUUCUGGAGCAUUCUCAGUGUCAUCAUACGUAACAUCCAGGUCUUCUUUGAUAUCAAUAGCAAUAUUGUGGAGGAUUGCCAGUGCUACUAUAUAUAAUUUGGCAUUUUCUAAUGACACUGAGAAGCCAUGAAGAAGACACCUAAAUCGAAAACCCUCCACCUCUAGUACUCUUUUCGACAUCAGCUCGCACUAUGUCACAGAUCUUCAUAACAUACUUCUUUGAAAAGCGGUAUUUUGUUUUGAAAUCGCCAUGCGAAAGUAAUAACGGAUUGCACCGAGUUUGGUAUGUUUAGACUUUCCUUGGAGGCGGCAAAUCUUCAAUCGUAUGUAUUAGCUGCAUAUCAAUAUUAUCU